rnacentral:rRNA from 1 species
GACGAACGCUGGCGGCAUGCCUUACACAUGCAAGUCGAACGGUAACGGGCCUUCGGGUGCCGACGAGUGGCGAACGGGUGAGUAAUGUAUCGGAACGUACCUUUCAGUGGGGGAUAACGUAGCGAAAGUUACGCUAAUACCGCAUAUUCUGUGAGCAGGAAAGCAGGGGAUCGCAAGACCUUGCGCUGAUUGAGCGGCCGAUAUCAGAUUAGCUAGUUGGUGAGGUAAAGGCUCACCAAGGCGACGAUCUGUAGCGGGUCUGAGAGGAUGAUCCGCCACACUGGAACUGAGACACGGUCCAGACUCCUACGGGAGGCAGCAGUGGGGAAUAUUAGAAAUGGGCGGAAGCCUGAUCUAGCAACACCGCGUGUGCGAUGAAGGCCUUCGGGUCGUAAAGCACUUUUGGAGGGAUAGGAAGGAAGGUACCUCCAGAAUAAGUCUCGGCUAACUACGUG